rnacentral:lncRNA from 1 species
CUUUCAUCUUCCUUAGUUGUUUGGAUCCUUAAGCCUGCCUUGAAAGAAGAGGGAGAAGGCUUCAGGGGAAAUGCUCCCCGCGCUGACCCACAGGAUGGCUUCCUUCAACAAAUGCAGCCACCUUUGAUUGGCUGCCUGCUACAAGAGAAACAUCAGGAGGUACGUAUUGCCAUGGGGGGAACUGAAGAUGGAGGACCCCUCAUUUGUGGAAUUGGGAACGGGCUUUGGGUCACAUGAGGCUCAUCCCUGAUGAGCUAGAACGUGGAAGUUACCUGAAUCCAGAAACCGAUAUUAGGCUCUGUAAUGGACAUGCAGAGGAAGAAGGACCUGUUGCCACGUCUACAGAGGGGUCAGGAAAGACACACUUGGAAUGACCCUAAGAAACCAUGGGCAAGUCUCCAUUUUUUUCCCUCAGCCAAAUCUGUAUGCACUGGUACAGC